CAAUUUGAAGACAGUUAGUAAAAACAGACAUGUCAGUGUUCAUUAAUCAAAGCUAAAUUAACACUAAUUAAAUAUUUCACAGAUAAACCAUUUAAUAUGUGUCUCCUUACAGGAGUUUACUAUGAUGAAAAUUGCAAUGGUACGUAACCCAUGAAGUGCUGGUGGUUGGUUUUGGAAUUGAGGAUGGAAUGAACUAUUGGCUGGUUAAAAACAGCUGGGGAACAGACUGGGGUGAAGACGGGUACAUCAAAAUUGCUAAGGAUAGAGGGAAUAACUGUGAAAUUGCCAGUUUUGUGCGGUACCCUGUCGUGUAACGAGCCAACUGAUAAGACAGAGCUUCAUCAAUCCCAGCUGAAUGAUAAACCGGAUCAUUUCGGUUAAUGCUGACUCAUUCAAAGACAUUGCUUUCAUUGUCUGUUGCAAAUUUAAAAAGUGAAAUAAUAACGAUUUUUGCACAUUUCUAUCGCUUCAUAUAAAACCAAUGGCAUUGUCUGAUUGAUACAUAUAGCCACUGUAAAUGAUAGAAUGAAUACAUUCUCCAGCUUGUAGAAGACAAUAAUCUGCAUGUACUGCUGAUGUCCAACAAUAUAAUAAAGGCUGCCAGCAAUCA